rnacentral:rRNA from 1 species
CAGUCGCCGCGGGAAUACGUAGGGGGCGAGCGUUGUCCGAAGUUACUGGGCGUAAAGCGCGCGUAGGCGGCUUCUAAGUCUGAGGUGAAAGGUUCAACGCUUAACGUGAACAGUGCCUUGGAUACUGGGGAGCUUGAGUAUGGGAGAGGGCAGUGGAAUGGCUGGUGUAGCGGUGAAAUGCGUAGAUAUCAGUCGGAACACCCAUGGCGAAGGCAGCUGCCUGGCCUAAUACUGACGCUGAGGUGCGAAAGCGUGGGGAGCGAACGGGAUUAGAUACCCCGGUAGUCCCUGUCUCUUAUAC